GGAGAGGUGCCUGAGUGGUUGAAAGGGGCACCCUGCUAAGGUGUUGUACUUUAACCGGUACCGAGGGUUCGAAUCCCUCCCUCUCCG
rnacentral:tRNA from 1 species